rnacentral:tRNA from 1 species
UGGGGCGUCGCCAAGUGGUAAGGCAGUGGGUUUUGGUCCCACCAUUCGGAGGUUCGAGUCCUUCCGCCCCAG